GACGAACGCUGGCGGCGUGCUUAACACAUGCAAGUCGAACGCUGAAGCCCUUUCGGGGGUGGAUGAGUGGCGAACGGGUGAGUAACACGUGGGUAAUCUGCCCUGUACUUCGGGAUAAGCCCUGGAAACGGGGUCUAAUACCGGAUAGGACCUGUCCUCGCAUGGGGGUGGGUGGAAAGUUCCGGCGGUAUGGGAUGAGCCCGCGGCCUAUCAGCUUGUUGGUGGGGUGAUGGCCUACCAAGGCGACGACGGGUAGCCGGCCUGAGAGGGUGACCGGUCACAGUGGGACUGAGACACGGCCCAGACUCCUACGGGAGGAAGCAGUGGGGAAUCUUGCGCAAUGGGCGAAAGCCUGACGCAGCAACGCCGCGUGGGGGAUGACGGCCUUCGGGUUGUAAACCUCUUUCGGCAUCGACGAAGGCAUCUCUGUGUGGGGUGUUGACGGUAGGUGUAGAAGAAGCACCGGCUAACUACGUGCCAGCAGCCGCCGUAA
rnacentral:rRNA from 1 species